rnacentral:RNase_P_RNA from 1 species
ACAAACGCUGGAGAUUUUUAUCUCUUGAGGAAAGUCCAUGCUCACACAGUCUGAGAUGUCUGUAGUGUUCGUGCCUAGGGAAAAAAUAACCUAGGGUAGUUUAUACUAACGGCGGAAGAUUUUCUAAGUCUUUUAGAUAUGAAAUAUUCCAUAAAGUGCCGCAGUGACGAUGCUUUUAGAAAUAAAAGAGUGAAACGUGGUAAACCCCGCGAGUGAGAAACCCAAAAUUGGUAGGGGAGUCUUAAUGAAGGAAUUGAACGGAUUUAAGAACCAAGUAAUUGGUAGAUAAAUGUUUGUUGCCUGGAAACGGGUACAGAACAUGGCUUAUU